rnacentral:rRNA from 1 species
UGCUUCUCUUGAGAGCGGCGGACGGGUGAGUAAUGCCUAGGAAUCUGCCUGGUAGUGGGGGAUAACGUUCGGAAACGGACGCUAAUACCGCAUACGUCCUACGGGAGAAAGCAGGGGACCUUCGGGCCUUGCGCUAUCAGAUGAGCCUAGGUCGGAUUAGCUAGUUGGUGGGGUAAUGGCUCACCAAGGCGACGAUCCGUAACUGGUCUGAGAGGAUGAUCAGUCACACUGGAACUGAGACACGGUCCAGACUCCUACGGGAGGCAGCAGUGGGGAAUAUUGGACAAUGGGCGAAAGCCUGAUCCAGCCAUGCCGCGUGUGUGAAGAAGGUCUUCGGAUUGUAAAGCACUUUAAGUUGGGAGGAA